rnacentral:rRNA from 1 species
AGGACGAACGCUGGCGGCGUGCUUAACACAUGCAAGUCGAGCGGUGACCCUCCUUCGGGAGGUGAUCAGCGGCGAACGGGUGAGUAACACGUGGGCAACCUGCCCCUCACACUGGGAUAACCUCGGGAAACCGGGGCUAAUACCGGAUACGACCUCGAGCGGCAUCUCUUGAGGUGGAAAGCUCCGACGGUGAGGGAUGGGCCCGCGGCCUAUCAGCUUGUUGGUGGGGUAAUGGCCUACCAAGGCGACGACGGGUAGCCGGCCUGAGAGGGCGACCGGCCACACUGGGACUGAGACACGGCCCAGACUCCUACGGGAGGCAGCAGUGGGGAAUAUUGCGCAAUGGGCGAAAGCCUGACGCAGCGACGCCGCGUGAGGGAUGAAGGCCUUCGGGUUGUAAACCUCUUUCAGUUGGGACGAAGCUUCGGCGGUGAAUAGCCGUCUGGAGUGACGGUACCUUCAGAAGAAGCCCGGCUAACUACGCGCCAGCAGCCGCGGU